rnacentral:misc_RNA from 1 species
CUGAGGACGAUGACUUACAAGGGCUCGCUGCUGCUUUGCUUCCUCCUCGUUCUCGUCUCCUUCUCUCUUAUCCAGGCCAAAGCAACCAAAGAAAGUUUGAAGGAAGUUACUCACAAAGUCUACUUUGAUGUUGAGAUUGAUGGGAAGCCUGCAGGUCGUAUUGUGAUGGGUCUAUUCGGCAAAACUGUGCCUAAAACAGCAGAAAAUUUCCGAGCACUUUGUACAGGUGAGAAAGGUGUCGGAAAAAGUGGCAAACCUCUUCACUACAAGGGGAGCACAUUCCAUAGAAUCAUUCCCAGCUUUAUGCUCCAGGGUGGCGAUUUCACUCUUGGUGAUGGAAGGGGAGGAGAGUCGAUAUACGGUACCAAAUUUGAGGACGAGAACUUCAAGCUCAAGCACACAGGGCCAGGAUUUCUCUCGAUGGCAAACGCUGGUCGAGAUACCAAUGGUUCACAGUUUUUCAUCACCACAGUAACCACUAGCUGGCUGGACGGCAAACACGUGGUAUUUGGAAAGGUGAUAUCUGGAAUGGAUGUAGUUUAUAAGGUUGAAGCCGAGGGGCGACAGAGCGGAACACCUAAAAGCAAGGUCGUCAUUGCCGAUAGCGGGGAGCUGCCUCUGUGAUUGUAACCAUUCCUAGCUUGCUUUUGGAUCCGAUCCGAGCUAUGUCCUCGAAGGACCUUUCUUGUUGCUACUCCCUCUACUCUUAAUCUAACUAUGAUUGUAACCAUUCCCUUGCGGAACUUGCACUCCCUAGAAAUAUUUUUCUAUGCUUUUUAUGCAAUGCAG